CCGCGGACAUCCGGUUACCGCCAUUUUAGAGUCUUAUCUGCUCUCGGCGUGUUUCUUUGGACUCUCCCGAAUGGUUCGCUGUUUUUCCUGAAAAUCUCGCUAGUAGCUCUUUUAUUUUUGGCAUAACGUGCUGCAGUAGGGUUAGUGAUUCAAGAUGAGUUACGGCAGACCUCCGCCCGACGUCGAGGGCAUGACAUCUUUAAAAGUCGACAAUCUGACGUACCGCACGUCUCCUGAAACGCUGCGGCGGGUUUUCGAGAAGUACGGCCGGGUCGGCGACGUCUACAUCCCGAGAGACCGGUACACAAAAGAGAGCCGCGGGUUCGCCUUCGUCCGUUUUCAUGAUAAGCGGGACGCGGAAGAUGCAAUGGACGCCAUGGACGGCGCGCUGCUGGACGGGCGCGAACUGCGCGUGCAGAUGGCGCGAUACGGGCGCCCGCCAGAUUCGCAUUACAGCCGCCGCGGAGCCCCGCCGAGGAGGUAUGGGGGACAUGGACGGAAAAGCCGAAGCCGUAGUCCUCGGCGCAGGAGGCACAGCAGGUCUAGGUCCAGGAGCAGGAGCCGUUCCCGUAGCAGGUCCCGCUACAGCCGAUCCAGAUCCAAGUCCUACUCCCGUUCCCGAUCUAGGUCCCGUUCCCGCUCUAAAACCCGCACACCACGCAGAAGCAAGUCCAAAUCGGCUUCCAGGUCCCGUUCCAGAUCCAAGUCCAAGUCUCACUCCAGGAGCCAUACUCCUCGAUCCAACAAAGGAUCCAAAUCACGAUCCAGAUCGAGAAGCAGACCCAAAUCUCCAGAGGAUACUGGAGCCACUGCUGAAUCCUGAAAUCUGCUGAUUCCUGUUUGCAAAAGAGGAGUUUGGGGCAGUUUGAGAGCAGUUAGUGUGUGAUCCGACCAUUGGCUGCCUGCUGCUGAUUGGCGGUUGCUAUGGAGCAGGUCGGUCUCAUUGAGUGUUGAGGUGGUGUUGAGAUGAUGUCAGCUGGUUGAAUCUUCGAGGAUCGCAUCGAACAGAUGUCCGUCUGAGGAUACCCAAAUUAUCCAUGUAUCAGACCGAAAGGCGCAGUUGCGUAGCAGUUGAGUUUUGCUGGUUAGCUGUUAAGGUGGCGUGUUGCGGUGCAGAGUGCUUGGCUGUAUCCAGUAUUCUCCUGAUUGCUCCUGUGUAACGCCUUGAUUUGAUUCUUUAAAUUUUGGCUGCAGCAUUUAUUCUUUUUGCAGAAAGAUCCUGUGCAAGUCCUUUUGUGAAUACCGAUAAGGCAGAUAUCUGAGCUUAUUUCACAUCUCCGGAAGUUCUAUAAUUUGUGACAUGCUCACUUGGUCGUAAUUUCCAUGUGAAUGAUAAUAAAGGUUUUCUUUCUCUGAUCA